GAGAGCGUACUGUAAAGGCAGCCUUCCGGUCUUCGAUUCGGUGUAGCGACACUUUACUAGAAACUACGCGAAAACGAAAGUAUCGUCAUGUGCGACCUCGGCGAGAGGUGAGAGCGUACUGUAAAGGCAGCCUUCCGGUCUUCGAUUCGGUGUAGCGACACUUUACUAGAAACUACGCGAAAAGUAUUCGUCGUUCAAAAAGCACGUUUCGAUGUAUUAUAAUAUUAAGAAGAUCUAUCAAGUAUUAUUUCGACUUGUUAAAAGCCAAAUGUAAUUGUUUAAUGUAUAAAAUUCAGAAGUACUAUUAAA